rnacentral:rRNA from 1 species
GACGAGCGCUGGCGGCGUGCCUAAUACAUGCAAGUUGAGCGCUGAAGGUUGGUACUUGUACCAACUGGAUGAGCAGCGAACGGGUGAGUAACGCGUGGGGAAUCUGCCUUUGAGCGGGGGACAACAUUUGGAAACGAAUGCUAAUACCGCAUAAAAACUUUAAACACAAGUUUUAAGUUUGAAAGAUGCAAUUGCAUCACUCAAAGAUGAUCCCGCGUUGUAUUAGCUAGUUGGUGAGGUAAAGGCUCACCAAGGCGAUGAUACAUAGCCGACCUGAGAGGGUGAUCGGCCACAUUGGGACUGAGACACGGCCCAAACUCCUACGGGAGGCAGCAGUAGGGAAUCUUCGGCAAUGGACGAAAGUCUGACCGAGCAACGCCGCGUGAGGGAAGAAGGUUUUCGGAUCGUAAAACUCUGUUGGUAGAGAAGAACGUUGGUGAGAGUGGAAAGCUCAUCAAGUGACGGUAACUACCCAGAAAGGGACGGCUAACUACGUG